AAUGCUAAUACCCCAUAUGCUUUCACGAGUAAAAUGGAUUUUAUUAUCUGCCUAAAGAGAAGCUCGCGGCUGAUUAGCUUGUUGGUAAGGUAAAAGCUUACCAAGGCGACGAUCAGUAUCUGGUUUGAGAGGACGAUCAGACACACUGGAACUGAGACACGGUCCAGACUCCUACGGGAGGCAGCAGUGGGGAAUUUUCCGCAAUGGGCGAAAGCCUAACGGAGCAAUACCGCGUGAGGGAAGACUGCCUAUGGGUUGUAAACCUCUUUUUUCAGGGAGGAAUAAAAUGACGUGUACCUGAAGAAUAAGCAUCGGCUAACUCCGUGCCAGCAGCCGCGGUAAGACGGAGGAUGCAAGUGUUAUCCGGAAUCACUGGGCGUAAAGCGUCUGUAGGUGGUUUAAUAAGUCAACUGUUAAAUCUUGAGGCUCAACUUCAAAACUGCAGUCGAAACUAUUAGACUAGAGUAUAGUAGAGGUAAAGGGAAUUUCCAGUGGAGCGGUGAAAUGCGUAGAGAUUGGAAAGAACACCGAUGGCGAAAGCACUUUACUGGGCUAUUACUAACACUCAGAGACGAAAGCUAGGGUAGCAAAUGGGAUUAGAUACCCCAGUAGUC
rnacentral:rRNA from 1 species